rnacentral:rRNA from 1 species
GAUUAACGCUGGCGGCGUGCAUAAAACAUGACAGUCGAACGAUGAAACUUAACGAAUUUCUUCGGAAUGAUUUUAGUGGGAUUAUUGGGGGACGGGGGAUUAACGCGUGGGAAACCUGCCUUGGGGAAGGGAAUAGCCUUGGGAAACGAAGAAUAAUACCCAAUAAUAUGAUAAUAUCUAAUGAUAUUAUCAUCAAAGAUUUAUCGCUCUAAGAUGGACUUGCGUCUGAUUAGUUAGUUGGUGAGGUAACAGCUCACCAAGGCAGCGAUCAGUAGCCGGCUUGAGAGAGUGUACGGCCACAUUGGGACUGAGACACGGCCCAGACUCCUACGGGAGGCAGCAGUGGGGAAUUUUGCACAAUGGGGGAAACCCUGAUGCAGCGACGCCGCGUGAUUUAGAAGGCCUUCGGGUUGUAAAAAUCUUUUGUAUGGGAAGAAAAUGACAGUACCAUACGAAUAAGGACCGGCUAAUUACGUG